UGGCAGCGGUUGUAUUCGAACCUACGUCUCCGAAGAGACUGGUGCCUUAAACAAGCGCCUUAAACCGCUUAGCCACGCUGCC